UACGGGGGGGGCAAGCGUUGUUCGGAAUUACUGGGCGUAAAGGGCUCGUAGGCGGCCAACUAAGUCAGACGUGAAAUCCCUCGGCUUAACCGGGGAACUGCGUCUGAUACUGGAUGGCUUGAGUUCGGGAGAGGGAUGCGGAAUUCCAGGUGUAGCGGGUGAAAUGCGUAGAUAUCUGGAGGAACACCGGUGGCGAAGGCGGCAUCCUGGACCGACACUGACGCUGAGGAGCGAAAGCCAGGGGAGCAAACGGG
rnacentral:rRNA from 1 species